rnacentral:rRNA from 1 species
UACGUAGGUGGCAAGCGAUACUCGGAAUCACUAGGCGUAAAGCGCAGGUAGGCGGUUCGGUAAGUCUCUUGUGAAAGCUCCUGGCUCAACUGGGAGAGGUCAAGGGAAACUACCGGGACUUGAGUGUGGUAGGGGAUACUGGAAUUCCUGGUGUAGCGGUGAAAUGCGUAGAUAUCAGGAGGAAUACCUAUGGCGAAAGCAGGUAUCUGGGCCAUCACUGACGUGAGCUGACGAAAGCUAGGGGAGCAAACAGG